AUGAGUGCAUAAUUAAAAUCAAAUAUUACAAAGGGAAUCAGAAUAAGGUAAUUAAUUAGCAUUUAUCAACCCAAUUUUUCUCUUAAAAACAUGCAAAAUUAUCAACGGUCCAAAACUUGGAAAUCAACAAAGAAAUUAGAAAAAUUGGGCUGAUAAAUGUCAAAUGAAAACAAUCCGACGGAAAUUUAAAAGAAAUAAUAAUAAUAAUAAUA
rnacentral:misc_RNA from 1 species